CGAGUCGGUCAGGCGAUCGCUCUCGAGCCGCUUCACGGUGGCUCGGGGGAGGAAAGUCCGGGCUCCACAGGGCAGAGUGCCAGGUAACGCCUGGGGGGCGAAAGCCUACGGAAAGUGCAACAGAGAGUAAACCGCCCAAACGUGGCAAAAGCGGGGUCAGACCCCACUGCGUCAUUUGAGUGCCAUUUAUGGCUGGGUAAGGGUGAAAUGGUG
rnacentral:RNase_P_RNA from 1 species